UACGUAGGAUGCAAGCGUUGUCCGGAAUUAUUGGGCGUAAAGAGCGCGCAGGCGGUUUGAGAAGUCAGAUGUGAAAGAGGCCGGCUUAACCGGCAAGGGUCAUUUGAAACUGACAGACUAGAGUACAGCAGAGGAUAGCGGAAAUUCCCGGUGUAGUGGUGAAAUGCGUAGAUAUCGGGAGGAACACCAGUGGCGAAGGCGGCUAUCUGGGCUGAAACUGACGCUGAGGUGCGAAAGCGUGGGGGAGCAAACAGG
rnacentral:rRNA from 1 species